UUUACUAUCAGAUCUAUCGAUCCAUUGAUUUACUCUAUUAUGGAAGAACAAAGUCGUAGUACAAAUACGCAGUUGGAUAAAGCUUUCGUCAGUAUUCAGACAAAGCUUAUAGACACCAUAGGGCCUCUUGGUAACUUAUGGAUGUUAUUUGAAGAUAUUCGAUCAAAAAUCGAUAAGGGGUGUGACGAUCCUAGUGCACAGGCGCAUGUUGACAAUGUUGACUUCCGUCAUAUUCUUGAUCUGUAAGAGAAAACAAUUUGUUUGGUAGGAAAAUCUAAUGUUGCAAUAAAUUAUUCGCGACGUUUGUCAAUCCUUCAAAGAAUAAACAAUCAAGAUUCAAAGAAGGCUAGAUCACUUCUUAGAGACAAACAGGAAUGUUUAGCGAAAAACGACAAGCAUCUGUUUGGAAGUGAAUUCAAGGAAGAGCUGAAGGAAUGGAGCAAAACAAAGAAAGAAGCUUCCGAAAUGGCUUUAGCUCUCGGAGGAAAGAAAAAGAGUCACAAGAAGAAGGUGUUCAACUAUGACACACCUCGUCAGGUGCAACAAAGUCAACGAUGGGAACCAAAGGAAUCACAUCAAGACAAACCGCCCUUUCAGUCAAGGCCUCCGAGUCAUUCACAGGGAGCAAGAAACUCAGGAGGCAGAGGCAACUCCCGUGGAAAUGGUUUUCACAGAGGAAAUAAAAGAGGUGGAAUCAGAUCUGGGAAGUAGAACCAGGGAACAGGGAUGAAUUCCUAUCAGUCCAAGAAGUAUUGGUGGGACCAAGAAAGAUCGAUGACCAAGAUUGGACUAGGAGUAUCAAAAUAAAUGAUAUUAAAUGUU